UACGAGAGGCCCAAACGUUAUUCGGAUUUACUGGGCGUAAAGGGCUCGUAGGCGGCCAACUAAGUCGGACGUGAAAUCCCUCAGCUUAACUGGGGAACUGCGUCCGAUACUGGAUGGCUUGGAUUUGGGAGAGGGAUGCGGAAUUCCAGGUGUAGCGGUGAAAUGCGUAGAUAUCAGGAGGAACACCGGUGGUGUAGACGGCUCACUGGACCAUAACUGACGCUGAGACACGAAAGCGUGGGUAGCAAACAGG
rnacentral:rRNA from 1 species